UAUGAGGUCCAAAGAAACAAGUUUUAUGC
rnacentral:piRNA from 1 species